UACGUAGGGAGCAAGCGUUGUCCGGAAUCAUUGGGCGUAAAGCGCGCGUAGGUGGCUCUGUAAGUCCGUUGUGAAAGUCAAAGGCUCAACCUUUGAAUGCCGAUGGAUACUGCAGAGCUAGAGUACGGAAGAGGCGAGUGGAAUUCCUGGUGUAGCGGUGGAAUGCGCAGAUAUCAGGAGGAACACCAAUAGCGAAGGCAGCUCGCUGGGACGUUACUGACACUAAGGCGCGAAAGCGUGGGGGAGCGAACAGG
rnacentral:rRNA from 1 species